GAAAGAUUUAUCGGUAUUGGAUUAGCCCGCGUUUGAUUAGCUAGUUGGUGAGGUAAUGGCUCACCAAGGCUACGAUCAAUAGCUGGUCUGAGAGGAUGAUCAGCCACACUGGGACUGAGACACGGCCCAGACUCCUACGGGAGGCAGCAGUGGGGAAUAUUGGACAAUGGGCGCACGUGAUCCAGCCAUUCCGCGUGAGUGAUGACGGCCCUAGGGUUGUAAAGCUCUUUCAACGGUGAAGAUAAUGACGGUAACCGUAGAAGAAGCCCCGGCUAACUUCGUGCCAGCAGCCGCGGUAAUACGAAGGGGGCUAGCGUUGUUCGGAAUCACUGGGCGUAAAGCGCACGUAGGCGGACUUUUAAGUCAGGGGUGAAAUCCCGAGGCUCAACCUCGGAACUGCCUUUGAUACUGGAAGUCUUGAGUUCGAGAGAGGUGAGUGGAACUCCGAGUGUAGAGGUGAAAUUCGUAGAUAUUCGGAAGAACACCAGUGGCGAAGGGGCUCACUGGCUCGAUACUGACGCUGAGGUGCGAAAGGUGGGGAGCAAACAGGAUUAGAUACCCUGGUAGUCCACGCCGUAAACGAUGA
rnacentral:rRNA from 1 species